rnacentral:rRNA from 1 species
AGCGAACGCUGGCGGCAGGCUUAACACAUGCAAGUCGAGCGGGCGUAGCAAUACGUCAGCGGCAGACGGGUGAGUAACGCGUGGGAACAUACCUUUUGGUUCGGAACAACACAGGGAAACUUGUGCUAAUACCGGAUAAGCCCUUACGGGGAAAGAUUUAUCGCCGAAAGAUUGGCCCGCGUCUGAUUAGCUAGUUGGUGAGGUAACGGCUCACCAAGGCGACGAUCAGUAGCUGGCUGAGAGGAUGAUCAGCCACAUUGGGACUGAGACACGGCCCAAACUCCUACGGGAGGCAGCAGUGGGGAAUAUUGGACAAUGGGCGCAAGCCUGAUCCAGCCAUGCCGCGUGAGUGAUGAAGGCCCUAGGGUUGUAAAGCUCUUUUGUGCGGGAAGAUAAUGACGGUACCGCAAGAAUAAGCCCCGGGCUAACUUCGUGCCAGCAGCCGCCGU